UGCAUGGAUCAAUCAUGGAAAAAUAUGGCAUAUAAACAAAUAUUCAAAAGCUAUUACAAGAGGCAGAAAAUUGGUGCUCCAUAUGGAGGAUUGAAUCCUAUAAUCUCAGUUGAGUUGUGGAAGCGGAUUGGUAUAUAUCCCAAAUUAAUAUUUGUACGGGUUGUGAGCUCUGGCAGCUUAAUCGCCAUGACAUAAUCGAACUGGACAAAGUGCAAAAUAUUACGUUGUGUAUUGUGCAGGGGCUGUUACGCCACCUGGAAUAUCUGGGCCUG